ACGAACGCUGGCGGCGUGCUUAACACAUGCAAGUCGAGCGGUAAGGCCCCUUCGGGGGUACACGAGUGCCGAACGGGUGAGUAACACGUGGGUGAUCUGCCCUGCACUUCGGGAUAAGCCUGGGAAACUGGGUCUAAUACCGGAUAGGACCACGCUCUGCAUGGAGUGUGGUGGAAAGCUUUUGCGGUGUGGGAUGGGCCCGCGGCCUAUCAGCUUGUUGGUGGGGUGAUGGCCUACCAAGGCGACGACGGGUAGCCGGCCUGAGAGGGUGUCCGGCCACACUGGGACUGAGAUACGGCCCAGACUCCUACGGGAGGCAGCAGUGGGGAAUAUUGCACAAUGGGCGCAAGCCUGAUGCAGCGACGCCGCGUGGGGGAUGACGGCCUUCGGGUUGUAAACCUCUUUCAGUACCGACGAAGCGCAAGUGACGGUAGGUACAGAAGAAGCACCGGCCAACUACGUG
rnacentral:rRNA from 1 species